UUCCUCAAUUGACGGAACAACUCAGGGAAACUUGGGCUAAUACCGUAUGAUGCAGAGAUGCCAAAGAUUUAUCGCCUUGGGAUAAGCCCGCGUCAGAUUAGGUAGUUGGUGGGGUAAUGGCCUACCAAGCCUGUGAUCUGUAGCUGGUCUGAGAGGACGAUCAGCACAUUGGGACUGAGACACGGCCAAACUCCUACGGGAGGCAGCAGUGGGGAAUCUUGCGCAAUGGACCGAAAGUCUGACGCAGCCAUGCCGCGUGAAUGAUGAAGGUCUUAGGAUUGUAAAGUUCUUUAGCCUGUGACGAUGAUGACGGUAACAGGAGAAUAAGCCCCGGCUAACUUCGUGCCAGCAGCCGCGGUAAUACGAAGGGGGCUAGCGUUGUUCGGAAUUACUGGGCGUAAGGCGUGCGCAGGCGGUUUACGUAAGACAUGGGGUGAAAUCCCCGGGCUCAACCUGGGAACUGCGCUUGUGACUGUUAAGCUCAAGUACGGACAACGGGGCUGGACACUCCACGACUGCUUUUAACCCACGGAUGCCAAACCUGGGCCGCUUUCAGAGACAAUUCGUGGGNGACCGCGACAACACGAACCCGGUCAUUGG
rnacentral:rRNA from 1 species